CAGCAGUAGCCACGGUAAUACGGAGGGGGCUAGCGUUGUUCGGAAUUACUGGGCGUAAAGCGCACGUAGGCGGCUUUGUAAGUUAGAGGUGAAAGCCCGGAGCUCAACUUCGGAAUUGCCUUUAAGACUGCAGAGCUAGCAGGUGAGAGAGGUGAAUGGAAUUCCGAGUGUAGAGGUGAAAUUCGUAGAUAUUCGGAAGAACACCAGUGGCGAAGGCGGCUCACUGGCUCAUACUGGACGCUGAGGUGCGAAAGCGUGGGGAGCAAACAGGAUUAGAUACCCCCGUAGUCCCUGUCUCUUAUAC
rnacentral:rRNA from 1 species